rnacentral:rRNA from 1 species
CCCCAGCGCCACAAGUGGCAACCGUGUAUUUGGCCUAAAGCGUUCGUAGCUGGCCUGUUGAAUCCUUUGUGAAAUUGUUCGGCUCAACCGAACAGCGUGCAGGGGACACUCACAGGCUCGAGACCGGGAGGAGUUAGAAGUAUGUCCAGGGGAGCGGUAAAAUGUGAUAAUCCUGGAUGGACUACCUGUGGCGAAGGCGUCUAACUAGAACGGAUCUGACAGUGAGGGACGAAAGCUAGGGGAGC